rnacentral:sRNA from 1 species
AUACAAAAUAAAACUAAAUUUUAAUUUUCUUAUUAAUAUUUUGUUCUUUGUAUUAUUUUUGUUAAUGUCGGUUAAAUUUGGUUAAUUUUAAUUAUUUUGAAAGAAAAAAGAACCAGAACGAAUAUGAUAAAAUUUUGGUUAGUUACAGUUAUCGAUUCAAUUUUUUAUUUAUUUUUUAUUUGAAAUUACGAUUAACAUUUAUUUAAGUUUUAGUGUUUACCCAUUGCAUAUUGCACCUUAAAUAAACAACUCAUAAUAUCUCUAUCCAUUGCACAUGCUCUAAAAUGAGUAUACUGUAUCUCUAUCCACUGUCACGUCAUUGAUACACGGAAGAGCUAUGUUGCAGGAGAUUUUUCAGAUUGUGGUUUGAUCUGUAUUUAUUUGACAUGGAGGUUUAUCUUGCAAAAAAAAAAAUUACAUUGAGUUUUUUUUUGCACAAAAUCCUCAUGUUUUCAAACAGAGUUAUCGAGUGUCACGUCUUCGAUACACGGGAGGGUUGUAUUGUGGGUGACUUUAGAGAUGGUGAGGUUGACUUGCAUAAUUCGGACUUCGAGGGUAAAUUUACAAACGAGAUUGACUUAGAGGGUUAUUUUGCAGAAAACCCUAAAAAUAAUUAAUAUUUUGUAU